rnacentral:rRNA from 1 species
CGUAAAGAACUUGCCUCACAGAUAGGGACAACAUUUGGAAACGAAUGCUAAUACCUGAUAUUAUGAUUUUAGGGCAUCCUAGAAUUAUGAAAGCUAUAUGCGCUGUGAGAGAGCUUUGCGUCCCAUUAGCUAGUUGGAGAGGUAACGGCUCACCAAGGCGAUGAUGGGUAGCCGGCCUGAGAGGGUGAUCGGCCACAAGGGGACUGAGACACGGCCCAG